UCAAACAUUUUGGCCUGGUGCUUCCUUCCUCUAAUCCUACUGGCAGGAAAUGCUCUACAUAUCCUUUGAGGUGACCAGACAUAUUUAAAAGUAGUCCCUGGUUAAAAAAGCUCUUUGGCUACUGCAGUUUUCUCCAAAGAGGAGAGCGCUUUCUGCUCAGCACUGCUCCCUCCGAUUGCACUUGAAGCACCGCAAGAGCUCCGCUGAUGAGAAGUAUCAUUGAAUGGAAAUGAAAAAUACUUUCCCCUAUUCCUUCCUACGAAAACUACAAGUCUGGAUGGAACUUCUGGAAUCAUUCUUUCCUCAUAUAAUUUUCAGAAGAUGUGAGACCUAAGGCUGUAAGGACAUGAAAAAGUUUAAGGAUGAAAUUGUUGCAAGAUUGAAUAUAAGAAAAUCGACUUACUGGUAAAUAUCUUUCCUGAGGACAGACCUGCCCAGGGGGUUGUCAGCUUGGGGAGCCAUAGCAACAGAACCAAUCUUCAAAACCAUGGUGUCCUCUCUUGCUGCCUGAGUAACUGUAAUAAAAGAAACA